UUCAUUUUUGCAGGAGAAAUAUUUAUAAAGAAACUUCAUGCAGAGAGGACUGGCUAAAUAAGAGAGACUGAACAGCAGCAGACCUUUCAAGAGGUCUCAGAAGACCCUACUACAUUGUAUAUCUACAGUUAAGACAGAGAAUUGUGUUCAAAUGAAGAAAGUCCAAAAGACUGAGAAUGGCAUCACUGGAAAGGCCAUGGGGCAGUUCUCCACAGAACACACUGCAGACACACAUCUGAGGAUCUUUUUUUCUCACAGAAUACACCAGAGCUGGAUGCUCGAGAAGAGAAAGUGCUAAAGGUUGACUUCAAUGGGAAUGCUCCCUGGCGAAGGUGAAGAUUUGACCCAGAAAGGUUUGAGUGAGUUUCUGAGCAAACUGAAUUAUCUUUUGUGUUUUGCAAACAUGGGUCAGCUAAAAAAAGUGCAAAAGUUUAGCUCCCAGACCACAUGUUUGAGUGAAACUAUUUCAUGUUAUUCCUUUAAAAAACAGCCCUUCUAUUUUACUUCCCAACUGCAAUGAAAUGUUGUACUCUAAAUAAAAGCUGUCUUUAGCCCUGCAUUUUGUAAAUGUAGUGCAUUAGCCGGUGCAGUUACUUGCUGUUUAGAUUUUUAUUAAUUCUAAACUUACCUCUUUUCAUGGAACUCUUUUGAUUCCUAUUCUGCUUGCAUUUAUUGGCACAGUAAGAACAUGCUAUUUUCUAAGCAGUUGCUUCAAACUUUGGGCCUUAUCCUUUUAUUAGAGAACAUUUGUAUUGAGCAAAGUACCACAAUCAAAGUGAGGAUACAAACUGUGUUUGAUCAUGAAUAAUGAAGACUUGUUUCUUC